UAGGGGCCACAGCCAUUUACUUCAUUUUUGGAGAUGACAUUUAACUCAAAAAUCCCUGGAAGAAGUAGUAAAGUCACUCGGAUUUAUAUGAAGAUUUAAGAAGUUUGAAAGAGGGUUCCAUGUUCUAUUCAUCAUCUAAUUUCCCACAGUGCUCACAAAACAACUUCAUGAAAAGAGCUGGAGUAAUGCAUAUAGCUUCAAGGAUGAAGACCACAGUCCCCAGCCUCCUUAUAACCAACCUGUCUGUUCAAAUCCAUUCUCUUCAAGAAAAUAAGAACAAUAUUUAUGUGUGCAGCUUCCAGGUCAGUUACAAUUUAUAACAAAAGUGAAAUCUCGUGUUUGGGACUGCUGCUUUCUUUAGACUGGAAAGCAGAUUUUAGCAGUGACGUAAUUUUGGUCAUGAAGAUAAGUGCAAUGUCUUAUUAGUUGAUAGUGAACAAGAUGGAGAAAACCCCCCUUCCUAAAAGUUCUCACGAGGCAGGAUUACCCUGUUAAUUGUGCUGUUCCUGAUUUAGAAAUGAACUUCUAUCAUAUUUAAGCCACUUAUUGUAUUUUGGGAUUUUCUUCAUUAGAGCAACUUAGCCUCUAUCCCAAUAGACAAUUUUUUAUCCAUCAGUUCCACUCAUAGAAAUAUAACCUAAAUAAAUAAACAUAUUGAAAAGGAGAGUGCUCAUGAAUACUUUUCUUUCUUUGCCCCAAAGGAAAAAUAAAAAAAACUUUCAUAAAUUAAAAUAAAUAAACUUUGUAAUUUUGAAGAGGUGCCUACUCCACACACAAAUGAGACUAUCACAGCUCUGAAUUCUUAAGGAAAUUUGAAAGAUUUUAUCAUGUC
ensembl:lncRNA